AACGAACGCUGGCGGCGUGCUAACACAUGCAAGUCGAACGCGAAAGGGACUUCGGUCCUGAGUAAAGUGGCGCACGGGUGAGUAACGCGUAGAUAACCUGUCUUCAUGUCUGGAAUAAUACGCCGAAAGGGGUACUAAUACCGGAUAUUCUUGCUUUUCAUAAGUUAUGCAAGCAAAGGUGGCCUCUGCAUAUGCUACUGCAUGAAGAGGGGUCUGCGUACCAUUAGCUAGUAGGUGGGGUAAUGGCCUACCUAGGCGACGAUGGUUAGCGGGUCUGAGAGGAUGAUCCGCCACACUGGCACUGGAACACGGGCCAGACUCCUACGGGAGGCAGCAGUGAGGAAUAUUGCGCAAUGGGGGGAAACCCUGACGCAGCGACGCCGCGUGAGUGAGGAAGGCCUUCGGGUCGUAAAGCUCUGUCAAGAGGAAAGAAGUGUACAAUGGCUAAUACCUGUUGUAUUUGACGGUACCUCUAAAGGAAGCACCGGCUAACUCCGUGCCAGCCGCCGC
rnacentral:rRNA from 1 species